rnacentral:rRNA from 1 species
GACGAACGCUGGCGGCGUGCCUAAUACAUGCAAGUCGAACGCAGUGGGGACGGGUGAGUAACACGUGGGUAACCUCCCAUCAGAGGGGAUAACACUUGGAAACAGGUGCUAAACCGAUACUGAUGGAUGGACCCGCGGUGCAUUUGCUAGUUGGUGAGGUAACGGCUCACCAAGGCCACGAGUCAUAGCUGACCUGGGAGGUGGAUCGGCAACCCUGGACAUGAGACACGGCCCAGACUCCUACGGGAGGCAGCAGUAGGGAAUCUUCGGCAAUGGACGAAAGUCUGACUGAGCAACGCCGCGUGAGUGAAGAAGGUUUUCGGAUCGUAAAACUCUGUUGUUAGAGAAGCGGUAUCUAACCAGAAAGCCACGGCUAACUACGUGCCAGCCGCCGCGGUAAUUC